rnacentral:rRNA from 1 species
AGAGUUUGAUCCUGGCUCAGGACGAACGCUGGCGGCGCGCCUAACACAUGCAAGUCGAACGAGAGAGAGGAAGCUUGCUUCCUCAAUCGAGUGGCGAACGGGUGAGUAACGCGUGAGGAACCUGCCUCAAAGAGGGGGACAACAGUUGGAAACGACUGCUAAUACCGCAUAAGCCCACAGGUCGGCAUCGACCAGAGGGAAAAGGAGCAAUCCGCUUUGAGAUGGCCUCGCGUCCGAUUAGCUAGUUGGUGAGGUAAUGGCCACCAAGGCAACGAUCGGUAGCCGGACUGAGAGGUUGAACGGCCACAUUGGGACUGAGACACGGCCCAGACUCCUACGGAGGCA